rnacentral:rRNA from 1 species
GACAGAGGAGCCAAGCGUUGUCCGGAUUGACUGGGCGUAAAGCGCACGCAGGCGGAUGCGCGCGUGGGGUGUGGAAGCUGGUGGCUUAACUGCCAGUCGCCAUCCCAUACGGCGCGUCUGGAGCCUUGCAGAGGGCAGUGGAAUUGCCGGUGUAGUGGUGAAAUGCGUAGAUAUCGGGAGGAACACCAGUGGCGAAGGCGGUUGCCUGGGGCUUUGCUGACGCUGAUGCGCGAAAGCGUGGGGAGCGAUCCGG